UGCAAGAAAUUGAAUAAACUUUAAAACUAAUACUUCCUUCUUUCAGAUCUUUACCAAUCAGACAUUGAUUUGAAGUUGAAACCUCCAGGAAAUCAAGAGUUUCUAAGAGCCAUACUCAUAAAUAGUCGCUUCACAACAGGCUGUACCCACAAUGCGAUCCAAUACUUCUGUUAAAUUGUUAUUCCAAAAAUUCUAUUAAAUAAAAUGUACAA
rnacentral:sRNA from 1 species